UACGUAGGUGGCAAGCGUUGUCCGGAUUUACUGGGUGUAAAGGGCGUGUAGCCGGGCCGGUAAGUCAGAUGUGAAAUGCACAGGCUCAACCUGUGAACUGCAUUUGAAACUGCUGGUCUUGAGUAUCGGAGAGGCAAUCGGAAUUCCUAGUGUAGCGGUGAAAUGCGUAGAUAUUAGGAGGAACACCAGUGGCGAAGGCGGAUUGCUGGACGACAACUGACGGUGAGGCGCGAAAGCGUGGGGAGCAAAC
rnacentral:rRNA from 1 species